UUUGGUUAAGUUAGAAAGGGCGCACGGUGGAUGCCUUGACACUAGGAGUCGAUGAAGGACGGGACUAACGCCGAUAUGCUUCGGGGAGCUGUAAGUAAGCUUUGAUCCGAAGAUUUCCGAAUGGGGAAACCCACCAUACGUAAUGGUAUGGUAUCCUUAUCUGAAUACAUAGGGUAAGGAAGACAGACCCAGGGAACUGAAACAUCUAAGUACCUGGAGGAAGAGAAAGCAAAUGCGAUUUCCUGAGUAGCGGCGAGCGAAACGGAACAUAGCCCAAACCAAGAGGCUUGCCUCUUGGGGUUGUAGGACAUUCUAUACGGAGUUACAAAGGAACGAGGUAGACGAAGCGACCUGGAAAGGUCCGUCGUAGAGGGUAACAACCCCGUAGUCGAAACUUCGUUCUCUCUUGAAUGUAUCCUGAGUACGGCGGAACACGUGAAAUUCCGUCGGAAUCUGGGAGGACCAUCUCCCAAGGCUAAAUACUCCCUAGUGAUCGAUAGUGAACCAGUACCGUGAGGGAAAGGUGAAAAGCACCCCGGAAGGGGAGUGAAAGAGAUCCUGAAACCGUGUGCCUACAAAUAGUCAGAGCCCGUUAACGGGUGAUGGCGUGCCUUUUGUAGAAUGAACCGGCGAGUUACGAUCCCGUGCGAGGUUAAGCUGAAGAGGCGGAGCCGCAGCGAAAGCGAGUCUGAAUAGGGCGUUUAGUACGUGGUCGUAGACCCGAAACCAGGUGAUCUACCCAUGUCCAGGGUGAAGUUCAGGUAACACUGAAUGGAGGCCCGAACCCACGCACGUUGAAAAGUGCGGGGAUGAGGUGUGGGUAGCGGAGAAAUUCCAAUCGAACCUGGAGAUAGCUGGUUCUCCCCGAAAUAGCUUUAGGGCUAGCCUUAAGUGUAAGAGUCUUGGAGGUAGAGCACUGAUUGGACUAGGGGUCCUCAUCGGAUUACCGAAUUCAGUCAAACUCCGAAUGCCAAUGACUUAUCCUUAGGAGUCAGACUGCGAGUGAUAAGAUCCGUAGUCAAAAGGGAAACAGCCCAGACCGCCAGCUAAGGUCCCAAAGUGUGUAUUAAGUGGAAAAGGAUGUGGAGUUGCUUAGACAACUAGGAUGUUGGCUUAGAAGCAGCCACCAUUUAAAGAGUGCGUAAUAGCUCACUAGUCGAGUGACUCUGCGCCGAAAAUGUACCGGGGCUAAAUACACCACCGAAGCUGCGGAUUGAUACCAAUGGUAUCAGUGGUAGGGGAGCGUUCUAAGGACAGUGAAGUCAGACCGGAAGGACUGGUGGAGUGCUUAGAAGUGAGAAUGCCGGUAUGAGUAGCGAAAGACGGGUGAGAAUCCCGUCCACCGAAUGCCUAAGGUUUCCUGAGGAAGGCUCGUCCGCUCAGGGUUAGUCAGGACCUAAGCCGAGGCCGACAGGCGUAGGCGAUGGACAACAGGUUGAUAUUCCUGUACCACCUCUUUAUCGUUUGAGCAAUGGAGGGACGCAGAAGGAUAGAAGAAGCGUGCGAUUGGUUGUGCACGUCCAAGCAGUUAGGCUGAUAAGUAGGCAAAUCCGCUUAUCGUAAAGGCUGAGCUGUGAUGGGGAAGCUCCUUAUGGAGCGAAGUCUUUGAUUCCCCGCUGCCAAGAAAAGCUUCUAGCAAGAUAAAAGGUGCCUGUACCGCAAACCGACACAGGUAGGCGAGGAGAGAAUCCUAAGGUGUGCGAGAGAACUCUGGUUAAGGAACUCGGCAAAAUGACCCCGUAACUUCGGGAGAAGGGGUGCUUUCUUAACGGAAAGCCGCAGUGAAUAGGCCCAAGCGACUGUUUAGCAAAAACACAGCUCUCUGCGAAGCCGUAAGGCGAAGUAUAGGGGGUGACACCUGCCCGGUGCUGGAAGGUUAAGGAGAGGGGUUAGCGUAAGCGAAGCUCUGAACUGAAGCCCCAGUAAACGGCGGCCGUAACUAUAACGGUCCUAAGGUAGCGAAAUUCCUUGUCGGGUAAGUUCCGACCCGCACGAAAGGUGUAACGAUUUGGGCACUGUCUCAACCAGAGACUCGGUGAAAUUAUAGUACCUGUGAAGAUGCAGGUUACCCGCGACAGGACGGAAAGACCCCGUGGAGCUUUACUGUAGCCUGAUAUUGAAUUUUGGUACAGUUUGUACAGGAUAGGCGGGAGCCAUUGAAACCGGAGCGCUAGCUUCGGUGGAGGCGCUGGUGGGAUACCGCCCUGACUGUAUUGAAAUUCUAACCUACGGGUCUUAUCGACCCGGGAGACAGUGUCAGGUGGGCAGUUUGACUGGGGCGGUCGCCUCCUAAAGUGUAACGGAGGCGCCCAAAGGUUCCCUCAGAAUGGUUGGAAAUCAUUCGUAGAGUGCAAAGGCAUAAGGGAGCUUGACUGCGAGACCUACAAGUCGAGCAGGGACGAAAGUCGGGCUUAGUGAUCCGGUGGUUCCGCAUGGAAGGGCCAUCGCUCAACGGAUAAAAGCUACCCCGGGGAUAACAGGCUUAUCUCCCCCAAGAGUCCACAUCGACGGGGAGGUUUGGCACCUCGAUGUCGGCUCAUCGCAUCCUGGGGCUGUAGUCGGUCCCAAGGGUUGGGCUGUUCGCCCAUUAAAGCGGUACGCGAGCUGGGUUCAGAACGUCGUGAGACAGUUCGGUCCCUAUCCGUCGUGGGCGUAGGAAAUUUGAGAGGAGCUGUCCUUAGUACGAGAGGACCGGGAUGGACGCACCGCUGGUGUACCAGUUGUUCUGCCAAGGGCAUAGCUGGGUAGCUAUGUGCGGAAGGGAUAAGUGCUGAAAGCAUCUAAGCAUGAAGCCCCCCUCAAGAUGAGAUUUCCCAUAGCGUAAGCUAGUAAGAUCCCUGAAAGAUGAUCAGGUUGAUAGGUUCGAGGUGGAAGCAUGGUGACAUGUGGAGCUGACGAAUACUAAUAGAUCGAGGACUUAACCAUAUAA
rnacentral:rRNA from 1 species